GCGAGUGUGGCGGAAUGGCAGACGCGCCAGACUUAGGAUCUGGUGUCUUAUGACGUAAGGGUUCAAGUCCCUUCACUCGCACCA
rnacentral:tRNA from 2 species